GCAUUUGUUAACCCACUAGAUCCUCAUAAGAAUCUUAUGAAAUGUGAGUUAAUGGUAUUGAUCUCCAUUUUACAGAUGAGGAAAAUGAGGCUCUUGGCAGAGUAGGUAAGGAUUUUCAAGUGGACAAUCAAUUCUCAUCCUCAAAUAAAUGGAUUCUAGGAAAGAUGAGAAGUCUGAAGCUUAGAGAUGAAAUGAACCUGUCCAAAAUUAAAAGGCAUAAUAGCAGUUCAUCAAUAUUAGUUGAACCCAUCAUCAACUUGAAGACUGCAAAUUAGAAUUUCAUUAAAAAAGGGAAGAAGUAGCAAUUUAUCUGGCAAGUCCAAAUCAAAGGAAUUAAAACCCCCUUGUCUAAUGUGUCAUAAAAUAUUAUUAUGUAUUAU